UACGUAGGGGGCAAGCGUUAUCCGGAUUUACUGGGUGUAAAGGGAGCGUAGACGGCGAUGCAAGCCAGAUGUGAAAGCCCGGGGCUCAACCCCGGGACUGCAUUUGGAACUGUAUAGCUAGAGUGUCGGAGAGGCAGGCGGAAUUUCUAGUGUAGCGGUGAAAUGCGUAGAUAUUAGGAGGAACACCAGUGGCGAAGGCGGCCUGCUGGACGAUGCCUGACGUUGAGGCUCGAAAGCGUGGGGAGCAAACAGG
rnacentral:rRNA from 1 species